UUUUGGGCUGAAUGCCCUUAAUGGAAGGGUUCAUUUGCCGGGUGGUUCUUUAGGAGGACCCUGGAACUCCACCAACGCUGCAUCUUUUAUUCACUACACUGUCAAUAAGGGUUACACUAUCCAUGGUUGGGAGCUUGGGUUCAAGCAUCGAAGGAUGGCAACAAGCAUAGGUUCACAGGAUCCAAAGGAACCUCGGCCCGUCAGGAUUCUCUCUCGUUCUAUUACACUAUUGGUCUGGUGUCUCGGCAGCUGGGUAUUCGUGCAAAUACCAAUUUUCAAAGGGUAUUCGUACAAAAUCUGAUAUUUAGAAGGGUAUCUAUGCAAAAAACCCUUCUGAUUUUACUAAAACUUUUGAUGGUUAAAUGUUAUGGUUUUGAUAAAUAUCUGCGAAGAUCCGAGUUCGAACAUCUUGACCUUUCCAUGUCUUUACCAACUUACUAUUCAACCGAGAUCUCAGUUCAUCUUGGUGCCACCUAUCCAUUUAGAUUGCUAAGAUGUCAAAGUUUUAAGAACCUUGUUCUAAAUUAUUGUUUUUUUCUUCUUUUGCUUGCUAAUUAUCUGGAUUCAUCUUGCUUCAUUUAUUGUAGAUGACCCUAUAAAAGAUUUAGCCUA